GUUCCCGUAGCUCAGCAGGACAGAGCGUUGGAUUCCUAAUCUAAAGGUCGCAGGUUCGAAUCCUGUCGGGAACGCCA
rnacentral:tRNA from 1 species